UUUUGUAAAGUGGAAAAAAAACAUUUCCUUUCUUCUUCGCCUUUGAAGGGAAUUGAAAGAAAUCGAGGCAGCCAGUCCAUGGGUGAUUCUACCCCAAAUCUGAGUGCCCUGCCCGUCCAUGGAGCGAUGCUGUACCAAAUUGCUAGCGGAAAAAGAAACUGAUGCUGCCGCCCCAAAUUUGAGUGCCCUCCCGUCCAUGGGGAGAUGUUGUACCAAAUUGUAAGUGUUGUUGUUGUACCAGAUUGAUUUGCUUGCCCAUCCAUGGCCAAAUCUUGGAGGAGGUGACGUUUGUGGCCAGUUUUUGCCGAGGGCAGGACAUGCGCUGCGGAUCAGGUCUUGCCCACCAGCGAGGCCGUCCAUUGGCGCUUGGACAUAUAGUUUUGUGAUUUGGUUGAGGGGCCAUCUUCUGUGUGUUGUUCCUGUCGUCUUAGGCUGCAGACGUACUGACAGCACGCUGAUAAUGGAUAUUGCCUUCUUUUCAGUACGAAUGGCCAUUUUGAGUCACUUGGUGACAUGAUGAUUCGAGUAGCAUUACCGGCAAACCCACCUUCAGUGUUAACUUAUGGUCUGGGAUUCCUGGGGAUGUCAAGGUGUUGAGGAACUCAGUAGGCUGCAUGUUCAUCAUGAUGUUGGUGUUUGUCGUGGCCUUGCACACUGUGUCCAGGCUUAGGUCAGUGGAGUCUGGAAAAACGACUUGCUGCUCAUUUCAAGAUGGAAAGGUAGUCUCUCAACUGCUGGAUCACGAUACUGAAGAUCAAACUGAAAUAUCCUCCAACAUGCUUCUGAUGUUGAUAUGUAUCUUAUCUCUAGGUAUUUCUUGAUCUCGUCAGUUUCGUUUGCCGUGCCCCUUUCCUUGAGCAAGGCUGUAACAUGGUCAUCGUCUUUAUGGAUAUACUUGAAUAGGUACUUGAUUGAUCUGGACCUAUUGCACCACUCGACAUUUAUAUGAGCUUGAAAUUUGACCAGAAGAUUCCGGUUGUAUGGCACGACAAAUCUGUUGUCGAGCAUCACUCCUCCAUUUUUGAUCUGCCUUCCGUCAUCCCUCCUUUUAUAUACUGGAAACCCAUCCUCGUCAAUGGUAGUACUGACAUUGUAUCUUUUUGGGAAAUGCUUGGUGCAUCUAUGGUCCACCAUGCAUGGUGAGUUUUUCUUAGCCUCUCCGCACGGGCCAUGCAUCAUGAAGUUCUCAACAGCUUCAAAUGCCUCCGGAUCCUCAUCCUUGUUUGGGAUCUCAGCGCUUAUUAUUUUGUCGAUUUGCGGUGGUUCUGGGUACUUGUCUUUAUCCUUAAAAAAUAUUAGUAUGUGGGCAUGUGGGAGUCCUCUCUUCUGGAAUUCUAUUGUGUAGAUGACUGCAGUUGAUUAAUAGUUUGUCAGAUUUAGCUAAAACUGGAAUGCAUGUUACUGAAGAGGUAGAGUCUGACCGACUAUAAGAUGAUGCAUGUUACUAAAAAGGAAGAGUCAUGAAAGAGUAAAGAUUGAUAGUCGAUGGACUUACUUGCAACUGUUUCUCCAAAGUACUUUUUUUCUUUUAUGUCUCUCAUUAGCUCCUUUAGUUUGAUCAUAAAUACCCUGUCAACAAUAUCUGGCCGAUCGGCUGGCUUUUGGCCACCUCCCGCUUCAUCUAGCAUGUAUUGGAUCUCAGGCCACUUUGCAUUGCAUGUGAAUGUUAUAAAUAGGUCUGGGUAUCCAGCCCAACAACAUAUUGCAAAGGCAUCUUGCAAGUAUUGUGCCUUAUUUCUUCUACCACCUGUAAAAGAUGAAGGCACAAUUAUCCUCUUUCCAACUUGCUCUGUUCUUGUGUCCCCUCGCUCAAUUGCGUCCUGCAAUCCACUGUAAAGUUCAGUUCAUAGCUUUCCUUGAUUGUGUCGGAUCCAGUUUAGUCUAUUUUCCUCGAUACAUGUGUAUACAUCCACCCAAAAUUGCAGUGACAGAUGCCCAGAUUUGAGUAGUAACAUUCCUUGAUCGGGAUGUUGUUGUAGGUAGAAUGCAUAGUAGUCCAAUAACGUUACGUAUUUCCUGCUAUUUGCACCUCCUUUUGUUUUCUUGUACGGUAUCUCAAGUUUAAAACCAUCUUCUCCAUAUGGGAACAACAACGGAUAUUGCAUGGACAUGAAUUUCGGGUGGAUCUCUGAUAUCCUUUGCGGCUCCAUAUUUUUGUACUCAACAACAAUGUCACGUCCUUCACUCUCUCCGGUUGGAUCUCUUACUACCAAUGCUGCAACUUCAGAUGCAGAUGGAAGGUUGUGUGUUCCGUUCCUUUUGCCUAGCAUCCGAAGUGUGUAAUCAUGGUAGUCUCCUUCCUGGAAUCUAUCUCUUGCCAUUCUGAAUGUUUUUGCGAGGAUGUUAUUGUCGUCGAGCAUUACUUUCAGUUCUUUGACGAUGUUGGGGUCCACUGUUGAUUUACUAUCAUUGCAUCUUGACGCACUUAUCCUAUUAUCCACCUCAUUUUCUGUAUUAUAGAUGUACAGCUGUGCGAACCGAGGUUUGUCUGUACCUUCAGGUAAAAGAGUUCCUAUAUGGUGGUAGUUCUGUCCAUGCAAACGAAAAACAUAAGGUCCUUUGCUAGUGUUUAUUUCCUUGUCCACAACUCCUCCCAUCGAUGUGAAUGAGAACAUUGAGUUGUAUGACCUUAUAUUUUCUUUGAAGUUUACUGAAUCCUGCCCUUCACUUCUUAAGAGGUUUCUGAGGUAUGGUGGAGGUUCUCUUAGUGGCGGCAGAUCGAUUUUCCCCUGUUUGCAGCAUAUUCCAAAAGUGGGUGUCGUAGUUCCUUUGUUUGAAUUUAAUCUUUCUUCACACCAUAGCAAUGCUUUGCAAUAUUGGCAUUUGUAUAUCGGUCUUCCGAAGUUCCACGGUUUGCUAUUUGCACUUGUCGAGGUUCUGGUUCUGUUAUUGUCUCCAACAUUUGCUCUAAUGUUGUGUUUGUUGGUAUCUCUUCUUCCCCGCUUCAAUUCCUUAUCUUCUUCAGCAUUAGCCUUUCUCAAUCGUUCAGGAUCCUCUGUGUUUGUAUUUCUUCUUCCCUUUGCAGUCCUUGUCCGCUUUGUACUCCUUGAGUUUAAAGGUUGUUCUUUUUUUUCUUUUUGUAUGGUGAGCUGCUGGGGCUGACAUAUGCUGUACUCCCAUCUCUGCAAAUGUGAUUUUGUCAGUGUGUAUAGAUUUUUCUUAACAUAGUAUCAUGUAAUAUGAUUUAUGUUGUACUUAAUAGUGUUUUGCCGUUGCAGAUAUGCAAGUGCAUUUGUAGAUGUAAGAGACUACUAAUGGAUGUGUCACAUACAGUACAACUGGAGAUCAAUGUUGUUUAUCUGACAAGGCACCAUAAAUCAAUAAUUGUUCAACCGUGUUUCUCUUUUCAUAGAUUUCACAGAACUAUCAUGGUAGUAUCAGGAUGCAUUGAAAAAUGCUUUAUAGUUCAGUAUCAGAAGAGUUUUGAGAUAGAAGAUUAUAAGCAAAGUUUUUAUUUCGAAACGGAGGCAAAAGCUUUGCCUCAUCUCAUUAUAAGCAAAGUUGAGCUGAGAUCAAAAUGCAGGCACACACAUGAAGAAUUGCAUGUGGAUAUUACCCGAGGUUGAUGGUGCUGAUGUCGUGUCUUCAACUUGUUGGACGUUUCUUUGUGCUUUCGAUCGUUUGGGCGUCGCAGGCGUAUAUUGGAUGCAAGUUGCUGGAGUUGUUGCCAUGCCUUCAAUUUGCCGGCCGUCUCUUUGUAUUUUAUCGCCCUGACAUCUUGAAAAAGGAGCUAUUAAGAAAGUGCAUCAUGGGUCAAUUAUGAACGUCUGUCUUAUAAAAUUAUGCUUGAAAUUAUGUGAUAUAAGGAGAAAGGAUGAGUGUGUGACCAUA